GGCCGAAAAUAAAUGGGUCACAAAGUGACAGGUUGCCAAAAGGGCCGCCGAUAAGGGACCGACAAAACUAGUGUUUCAUUUCGCAGAAUCGACUACGACGACGACGACGGAAAGUGUGUGCGUGUGCGUGAAAAUGAUUGUCGCAAAGUGUCCUCUCCCCUGGGUUAAGGAGCAGUGUCGGAAUUUUGGACCGGGAUCAAAGGAAAGAAAUCAGAUCUCAGUGCAGUUGAAUGGCGACUGGGUAAGAAAAAUAAAGAUUUAUCAGCAAGCUUAAUGGACUCAAACCGGCACUUACCUCAUCACAUAUUCUACAAAUUAGUCACGGUUGUCGUUUUCCAUUCACAAGAGCGAGCCCCCACAGGAGGAGGAGGACAUCCUGGGCGAAAGUAAAACAAGCCGGCCUUAAAAAACGGCCCACAAACCAUGAAAGGCAAAAGGAGAGAAACAAAAAAAAGGACGAACUCCUCAGAGAGGACCCACAGAAAGUCUUAAGUCGACGACGG